CAGCCGCCACGGUAAUACGAAGGGUGCAAGCGUUAAUCGGAAUUACUGGGCGUAAAGCGUGCGUAGGCGGUUUGUUAAGUCUGCUGUGAAAUCCCCGGGCUCAACCUGGGAAUGGCAGUGGAUACUGGCAAGCUAGAGUGUGUCAGAGGAUGGUGGAAUUCCCGGUGUAGCGGUGAAAUGCGUAGAGAUCGGGAGGAACAUCAGUGGCGAAGGCGGCCAUCUGGGACAACACUGACGCUGAGGCACGAAAGCGUGGGGAGCAAACAGGAUUAGAUACCCGUGUAGUCCCUGUCUCUUAUAC
rnacentral:rRNA from 1 species